UCGCCCGUUCCUUGUUCCCCAGGGACCCACGAGAGCGGUUGGCGGGCGGCCGCCUCGGCCUGGCAGCGAGGCCCAGCCUGGCGCGGAGAAGCCUGCCGUCUAGUCCCUGCGUCCCUGCGUUUUACAUAAUUAGAGGGGACACAGAGCUGCGAGGCCCCCGAACAAACCCAGCUCUCAGCUCAUGGCAGUGCCAACUGUCCUGUUCAAAGGACAAAUGCUGAACUUCUUUCUUGGCUGGUGACAAUAUUUACGUUUAAGAUCAAGAUGAUGACUAUCUGAAGAACUCCCCUGGAAGCUCUCCUCACAACUAGAAAAACACAGCAGCCGGUUUGCAGAGCCGAAUUCUGGGCCAAAAAUAACGGCGCGCCAGGCCAGGAGACUGAGUCACCAGGAGGAGCUGUCGGCCACUGUCAGUGGAUGGGUCUCGGUUUCAUAAAAAAGCAGCCUGAACCACGAGGGACAUGUUCCCAGACAACAGAGAAAAGCUCUGGGCCCAGCGGAGGUGAAAACCAGCCUACUGAGCAUCCCAGGACUGUCCCUGCGUGUCAUUCAUUCUGGAGAGACCUCUGUGCCCCAGCCCUGGGCCUCCCUCAGACUUUCCUCUUCAGCACCCUGGGCCCAAGCCCCAUGCCGGGCCAUGGUUUCAGCUGCCCGGCGGUCCCUGCUUUCCAAACAGGGUGCCCACAUCUCUGCUGUGGAAACUUCUUUUAGGAAAGGGCGCGGGCUGGAGAGGAUUGGUCUGCGAGGGGAGAGCCCGGCGUGGGGCGAAUUCACUGCUGGGUGCCGGGCAAAGUCAGAGCCACCCGGGCUUUCGGAAGCGUCACGGUCACCUCGCAUCUGCGGAAGCGGCACCAGGCACGGCCGAAGCCGAGCCCCCAGGGUGUCCCUUGGUUGGUGAAUGACUACACGGCGCCAUCUCCUUUGCCAGGAACCUCUGAACCGAGAUGGUAUCUGGAAAUGAUUUGGGAGAUAAUUGUGCUGUUUCCUUAACAUGCAUCGCUUCCUGACAUCUUUCUCAGAGGCGAGAGGCUGUCGUCCCAGCGUCUGUUAAGCGGCGUGGUGAAUGCAGGUGCUCCAGUGUGACCAGGGGUCCCCGCUCUGGAAGGAAAGUGAAACCUGGGUGAACGCUGUGAAAGCCGGACAGCUUCCAGGGUCUUCCCGGUCAUUUUCAGGGAAGACGGCUCCAUAAACUCCUCAAGAUGAUGCUGACAAAGCAAAUCAGCUUAAAAGUAAAGAUAUCAUUCGGUUCCCCACUGCCCAGAAAACUAACUCAUUAGACCCCGAAAAGUUGGGGAAACACGGGCUGCAUCCAUCACUAGCAGGGGGAGAUGUCAGGAGAUGAGACUCCCAUCUGCCCGCCGCUCGCCAUGCUUUUCCCCUUGGGCGGCAUCAGCCCUUGAGCGUGGCCGGUGGUGUCGAGCAUCCCGGGGUGGAGGUGCCGGUGCCCGGACUCUGGCUUCAGCCAGUGGUUCCUCUGGCCUCUUCUGUGUAGUUGGUGAAUUUUAAAUGGGCGCCAUAUGUUCUUUUUUUGCAACCUCGGGAAAGGUUCCCUGGCCUUAGAGUAGUAGCAUGACCCACCACGAUUCCGAGUCAUUGCAUUUUUAUUUUACUAAAAAGGCCUUCUUUUGGGUUUUACAAAGAUAGUGCUAUUUCCAAACUCACCCUCAUAUUGCUACCGUUCCAGAGGGUGAAGGUAGGCUGACAGUUGGCAUAAUGAUAACAUUUUGGUUUUGUUGACGAUGUUUCAUGUCUAGGUUGUAACAUUUACAAAAUGCUGAUAUAUCCAUAUCCAAAGGCUGCUAUAUCAUUUAAGGAACUAACCAGUAACAAAGUGUGUGCCUUGUAUAGCAAAUAACCCUCCUUAAAGUUCUAUUUAUGGAGGACAGAAAACAGAGCUUUGAAAAACAACCCGGAAAAUUAAGUGUUUGGAAGACAUGAGGACAGCCAGAGGCCACCUCUGCCACCUACCUGCACUGGGGAGCCAGGCCAGCUGGGGAGGCCCCGGGGUGCGGGUUUGGAGUUCUACCCUUCCUGGAUGUCACGCCACAGCUCCAUUGGAAAGGACACCGAGACUUGCCCACAGCGAGGGCCUGCCCACGACUGAUGCCCACACACUGGAUCCCGCUCCCAGCAUGUGGGGAGGCCAAAGUGGAGAAAACUCGGUCUGUACCCAAGACAACACUCCGCAGACAGGCGGCCUGGGCUGGGAGAGCUAGCUCACCUUCCGGAUUCCUGUUCCAGUUGUCUUCACAGAAAUGUGGCGGGAAAGGAUGGUACCUCCUGCUUCCUCCAGAGACAUCCUGAGAUGGACAGGGACCAGUCUUUCCAGGAGGGACAGACGCUCCUCUGGACCCAGCCCAGGUGCUCAGUGUGACCCUCCCGUCUGGACCAGGUGCCCUCGAUGUAGGGGUGGAUGGUGAGGAAGGCCUGGCCCUGCCUCGCCCUUGGGAAGCCCGAGUCCAUCCAGGUAUGAGGGGAGAACCCUGGGAGGCUGGUGGCCUCAGAUGGCUCCAGGGUGUGGCGAGAGCACAGGGAAUGUCCCCCUCGAUCGCCUGGCAGGCAGGACGGGCUUUGCGAAGGGGUGAGCAUUUGGGCU